GUAAACCAUAAAAUCAAUAACAUCAUUCUCUCUAUAUGUCUCUCUCUCUCAAUGUGUAAAAAGAAAGAAUGGUGCAUGAAUGUUGUUAUUUUGCAAUUCCGCUCCUUCAGGGAUAUCCGCAACAACAAUGGUUUCCAUGACAACUCCCUUUACGUAUAUGUUCGUCUAGACAAGCCUGAACGCAAGCAUGAUUAUCGUUUGGACACGCCUCCAGUGGAAAACAUCUCAAAAAUCCUAUACCUUCAUCGGGAAUGAAUUUUUUUUCAUUUGUCGCGCCACCUGCAAUCAAUAUAGAGCGUUAUUAAACUCUUAAAUUCAAACCCGAACACAUACGCAUCAAAUGUCUCUAGUUAUCAAUUUUGAUGUACUUGUGAGACAAUUACAGUAAUUAAUAACCUUUCUAGACAUGCCUACCGUUAUUAUAUUUUUUUAAAAAUUAAAUAAUAUUGGAGAAAAGAAAAAUUUUAUUAAUCAAAGUGGCAUAAAUGAUCAUUUUAACAUUGUUACCAUGAAAAUUUAGUCUUGAUUCCUUAUAAAGAUUAUAAGCCUUAGCUACCACUGAG
rnacentral:lncRNA from 1 species